AUUGAACGCUGGCGGCAUGCCUUACACAUGCAAGUCGAACGGUAACGCGGGGCAACCUGGCGACGAGUGGCGAACGGGUGAGUAAUGCAUCGGAACGUACCCAGUUGUGGGGGAUAGCUCGGCGAAAGCCGGAUUAAUACCGCAUACGACCUACGGGUGAAAGCGGGGGAUCGCAAGACCUCGCGCAGUUGGAGCGGCCGAUGUCAGAUUAGGUUGUUGGUGGGGUAAAGGCUCACCAAGCCGACGAUCUGUAGCUGGUCUGAAAGGACGACCAGCGACACUGGGACUGAGACACGGCCCAGACUCCUACGGGAGGCAGCUGUGGGGAAUUUUGGACAAUGGGGGCAACCCUGAUCCAGCCAUGCCGCGUGCGUGAAGAAGGCCUUCGGGUUGUAAACCGCUUUUGUCGGGGAAGAAAUCUUCCGGGCUAAUACCCCGGGAGGAUGACGGUACCCGAAGAAUAAGCACCGGCUAACUACGUGCCAGCCGCCGCCGUAA
rnacentral:rRNA from 1 species